UACGUAGGGGGCUAGCGUUAUCCGGAAUUACUGGGCGUAAAUGGUGCGUAGGUGGUUUCUUAAGUCAGAGGUGAAAGGCUACGGCUCAACCGUAGUAAGCCUUUGAAACUGAGAAACUUGAGUGCAGGAGAGGAGAGUAGAAUUCCUAGUGUAGCGGUGAAAUGCGUAGAUAUUAGGAGGAAUACCAGUUGCGAAGGCGGCUCUCUGGACUGUAACUGACACUGAGGCACGAAAGCGUGGGGAGCAAACAGGAUUAGAUACCCUGGUAGUCCCU
rnacentral:rRNA from 1 species